rnacentral:rRNA from 1 species
GACGAACGCUGGCGGCGUGCCUAAUACAUGCAAGUCGAGCGGACAGAUGGGAGCUUGCUCCCUGAAGUCAGCGGCGGACGGGUGAGUAACACGUGGGCAACCUGCCUGUAAGACUGGGAUAACUUCGGGAAACCGGAGCUAAUACCGGAUACGUUCUUUUCUCGCAUGAGAGAAGAUGGAAAGAUGGUUUCGGCUAUCACUUACAGAUGGGCCCGCGGCGCAUUAGCUAGUUGGUGAGGUAAUGGCUCACCAAGGCGACGAUGCGUAGCCGACCUGGGAGGGUGAUCGGCCACACUGGGACUGAGACACGGCCCAGAAUCCUACGGGAGGCAGCAGUAGGGAAUCUUCCGCAAUGGACGAAAGUCUGACGGAGCAACGCCGCGUGAACGAUGAAGGCCUUCGGGUCGUAAAGUUCUGUUGUUAGGGAAGAACAAGUACCAGAGUAACUGCUGGUACCUUGACGGUACCUAACCAGAAAGCCACGGCUAACUACGUGCCAGCCGCCGCAGUAAAAC